UCCGAAAGGUGUCAAAUGCCAGUGGGGAUAUGGGCAUGGAUAUGGUAGCAUCAGAGUACCCGUUUUCACAGAAUUCCCUGGAGUCAAGUGACUGCUUUAUCUUGGACAAUGGCCCCAAUGGCAUGAUCUUUGUCUGGAAAGGUAAGGACGCUAACAAAGAGGAGAGAAGUGCGGUGAUGAGUGCUGCCGAACAGUUUAUCACAAAGAUGGGCUACCCGAAACACUCAGGUCCAGAUCCUACCUGAGAAUGGGGAGACCCCUCUGUUCAAGCAGUUCUUCAAAAUCUGGCGUGACGCGGACCAUACAGUGGGGUUGGGAACCGCCUACGUGUCCAACAAAAUCGCCAAGAUCAAGAAGGUGCCCUUCGAUGCCUCUACUCUCCAUCACUCGGACGCCAUGGCGGCUCAGCAUGGGAUGGUGGACGAGGGGAAUGGAGACAAGCAGAUCUGGCGUAUUGAGGGAGCUGACAAGGUGCCUGUGGAGCCCUCCACUUUUGAGCGAUUCUAUGGGGGAGACAGCUACAUCAUCCUCUACAACUACCAGCAUGGAGGCUGUAAUGGACAGGUCAUCUACAUAUGGCAAAGGGUGGAUUCUAGCCAGGAUGAAAUUGGCGCUUUGGCCAUCUUGGCUGCUCAGCUGGAUGACGAGUUGGGAGGAGGGGCAAUACAGGUGA
rnacentral:lncRNA from 1 species